AUGUCGCUUGUCCCGUACGCCGGUGGAUCAGGGAGCCCGCUGCCGACAUUCGUCCCCGUGCUCACUAGUGAUAACUACACCACAUGGGCGAUCAAGGUGGAGGCCAACCUAGACAUGGUCGUGCUGUGGGAGAUGGUCGUUUCGACGGAGGACGCGGCGCUGGCAGUCGUCGCGAAGAAGGACAAGCCGGCACAAGCCUACCUGCUCGGGGCGCUCUCUGAGAAACUGCUCAUGCAGGUGUCGGCAAAGAAGACGGCCGUGGAGGUCUGGGCCAGCCUGAAGACCCGCUUCGUCGGAGCUGAUCGAGUCCAGGCGGCACGGCUAGCCACCCUCCCCGACGAAUUCGAGCAUCUGCGCAUAGCGGAAGGCGAGUCGCUGGAUGCAUUCGCCGGCAAGAUUGGUGGCAUGGCGGCUCGGUACGCGGGGCUCGGGACGAUGCUCGGUGACGCCGAGAUGGUGAAGAAGCUGCUGGACUCGGUGUUGGACCGGCUGUACGCGGCAGUCACCGGCAUCGAGCAGUUCUGCAACGUCGACAAGGUGCCAUUCGAGGAGGCGCUCAGGGGGCUAAAGGCGUUCAAGGAGCGGACGAAGCGGCGCGGAUGCGGCAACGACCAGCUCAUGCUCACGGUGGCUCAAUGGGCAGCAAGGUGGCGUCAACAUGGCGGCGGGUUCGACCACGACAACGACGGCGGCGGCAGCAUGGUGUCGGGCGGCGCAGGGAAACGGCAAGGCCGCAGACGCUACUACAACUGCGGCGAGCGUGAACACUUUUGGUGGGAGUGCCCGAAGCGACAAAAGGCGCAGGCGCCGAAGCAAGCUCUUCUCGCCGACGUUGACGACGUCGGGCCGAUAGUCCUCUAG
rnacentral:rRNA from 1 species